rnacentral:rRNA from 1 species
CAGCCGCCACGGUAAUACAGAGGGUGCAAGCGUUAAUCGGAUUUACUGGGCGUAAAGCGUGCGUAGGUGGCUGUUUAAGUCGGAUGUGAAAGCCCUGGGCUUAACCUGGGAACUGCAUUCGAUACUGGAUAGCUAGAGAUCGGUAGAGGGCAGCGGAAUUCCGGGUGUAGCGGUGAAAUGCGUAGAUAUCCGGAAGAACACCAGUGGCGAAGGCGGCUCACUGGACGACUGUUGACGCUGAGGUACGAAAGCGUGGGGAGCAAACAGGAUUAGAUACCCGAGUAGUCCCUGUCUCUUAUAC